GUGUCAUUUCCUCUAAAAGACGUGACCAGCACUUACCCUGGACGGUUCCCCAAGGGUACUGGCGUGCUCGCACCAUCUUGUUCCCAAUCUUCACUUCCUCAGUGCUUCCCACCACUGCAAAAGGCAAAUGACCCUGCAGAGCACAAAAAAACCCACAAACAAAUAAUUUAGCAGAAAUACUCCAGUCUAUUUUAAGUUCCGACAGUAAUAGACUUGAUUAUGCAACAUUUAAAUCAAUUUGAUUAACAAAUACAUGCCGUUCUGUGUAACUUUCUAAAAUCACGGUUUACACAAAAAUAUUAAGCAGCACAACGGUUUUCAACAUUGAUAAAAACAUCUAAUUAAAUGCAUUCUUCUGUCAACCAGAAUGGUUCUAAGAGAGCAUUAACACAGAGGAAUAACAUAGCAUCCACCUCCAUACUUAAGUACUACUACAUUUCAGUGGCAAAACCCUCAAAGAAUUUACCUUGUUAAGAUAACAUUUACUAGUCAAGAAUGGCCUUUAAAACCACAGAGAAAAAUCUAUGAGGGCACAUCCCACUUGAAAUGAGUGGAAAGGGACCUGAGGUCAGCUAUCUUUGUUUUCAAUGGUUAACCAGUACUGGAAGAGCUCCACAGCAACACCACAGACACAGCCUGCUCUAUACGAGCGUGGCUAUCCCACAGUAAAAACAUGCUGUUGUGAGUGUCCACUGAAUAAGAAUGCCUCUCCUUUUGUGCUGUCAUUUCCUGUGAGCAAACACAAGCAGGAAAGCUGGACACCAUAUGGAUUCUUUCUCACUUAAACUGUUGAACUGUGAUGUGAAAUGAGAACUAGACAAGCACUGUAGAAUAAAAUAUGGCUAUGUUGUCUCCAAGCAAAACCGGACAUAGUACAAUUAUGAUUGAUUCUAUGUAAAAUGAUUUCAAGUGGAAGAGGAAUGCAUCAUUCUUAAUCAUAUUUCUGUUAUCAAAUAAUACAAUAUACUGUAAG